rnacentral:rRNA from 1 species
GACUAACGCUGGCGGCGUGCCUAACACAUGCAAGUCGAACGAGGUAGCAAUACCUAGUGGCAGACGGGUGAGUAACGCGUAGGUAAUGUGCCCUCCUGCGGGGGAUACCGUUCCGAAAGGGACGUUAAUACCGCAUAACAUGCUUCAGGGGCAUCUUUGGAGCAUCGAACUUCCGGGGUAGGGGGAGCAGCCUGCGUUCUAUCAGCUUGUUGGUGAGGUAAUGGCUCACCAAGGCUACGACGGAUAACUGGUCUGAGAGGAUGACCAGUCACACUGGGACUGAGACACGGCCCAGACUCCUACGGGAGGCAGCAGUGAGGAAUAUUGCGCAAUGGGCGAAAGCCUGACGCAGCGACGCCGCGUGGAGGAUGAAGGCCCUCGGGUUGUAAACUCCUGUCAGUGGGGAAGAGAACGGACGGUACCCACUGAGGAAGCUUCGGCUAACUACGUGCCAGCCGCCGCCGUAA